AGUGAACGCUGGCGGUAGGCCUAACACAUGCAAGUCGAACGGCAGCACAGGAGAGCUUGCUCUCUGGGUGGCGAGUGGCGGACGGGUGAGGAAUACAUCGGAAUCUGCCCAGUCGUGGGGGAUAACGUAGGGAAACUUACGCUAAUACCGCAUACGACCUUCGGGUGAAAGAGGGGGAUCGCAAGACCUCUCGCGAUUGGAUGAGCCGAUGUCGGAUUAGCUAGUUGGCGGGGUAAUGGCCCGCCAAGGCGACGAUCCGUAGCUGGUCUGAGAGGAUGAUCAGCCACACUGGAACUGAGACACGGUCCAGACUCCUACGGGAGGCAGCAGUGGGGAAUAUUGGACAAUGGGCGCAAGCCUGAUCCAGCCAUACCGCGUGGGUGAAGAAGGCCUUCGGGUUGUAAAGCCCUUUUGUUGGGAAAGAAAUCUUUCAGGCUAAUACCCUGGGAGGAUGACGGUACCCAAAGAAUAAGCACCGGCUAACUUCGUG
rnacentral:rRNA from 1 species